GACGAACGCUGGCGGCGUGCUUAACACAUGCAAGUCGAACGGAAAGGCCCUGCUUUUGCGGGGUGCUCGAUUGGCGAACGCGUGAGUAACACGUGAGUAACCUGCCCUUGACUUUGUGAUAACUUCAGGAAACUCGGGCUAUUACCGGAUAUGAUCUCCUGCUGCAUGUUGUGGGUUGGAAAGAUUCGGCGGUUCUGGCUGGACUCGCGGCUUAUCAGCUUGUUGGUGGGGUAGUUGCUUACCAAGGCUUUGACGGGUAGCCGGCCUGAGAGGGUGACCGGCGACCUGGGGACUGAGAUACGGCCCAGAAUCGUACGGGAGGCAGCAGGGGGAAAUAUUGCAGAAUGGGCGGAAGCCUGAUGCAGCAACGCCGCGUGCGGGAUGACGGCCUUCGGGUUGUAAACAGCUUUCGAAUGUGACGAAGAGUGCGUGACGGUAAUGAGUCAGGAAGCACCGGCUAACUACGUG
rnacentral:rRNA from 1 species